rnacentral:lncRNA from 1 species
UUUGCAUCAGCCUCCUGGGCUGUGCCUGGAACAAGGAGCCCAGGGCAACCAGGUACAUAGUCACAGCCCUUCAUCUCUGACCGUGUUCUUAUUGCAUUUGGCAAAAAAGUAGAAGCCGCCUAAUACAGGGGUUUUCUGUUCAAGAGGCCCCAAGGCUGUCCUCCGUGGGCUCUCCCUCCGGCAGGUGGAUUGGAACGAGAUGGGGAUUCUGGGACACAGCUCAAUCCACAUGGCCUUCCCCACGGCCAGGGAUCCUCAUUUGAAA